rnacentral:rRNA from 1 species
AGCCAUGCAUGUCUAAGUAUAAGCAAUUAUACAGUGAAACUGCGAAUGGCUCAUUAAAUCAGUUAUCGUCUAUUCGGUAGUACCUUAUUUACUUGGAUACCCCUGGUAAAUCUAGAGCUAAUACAUGCGAAAACUCCCGACUGAUUGGAAGGGAUGUAUUUAUUAGAUACAGAACCAAUGCCCUCGGGCCUUUUGGUGAUUCAUAGUAACUUUUCGAACCGCAUGGCCUUGUGCUGGCGGUGGUCCGAUCGAAUUUCUGCCCUAUCAACUGUCGAUGGUUAAGUAGUGGUUAACCAUGGUAGCAACGGGUAACGGGGAGUUAGGGCUCGACUCCGGAGAGGGAGCCUGAGAAACGGCUACCACAUCCAAGGAAGGCAGCAGGCGCGCAAAUUACCCAAUCCUAAUUCAGGGAGGUAGUGACAAUAAAUAACGAUACAGGGCCCUUUGGGUCUUGUAAUUGGAAUGAGUACAAUGUAAACACCUUAACGAGGAACAAUUGGAGGGCAAGUCUGGUGCCAGCAGCCGCGGUAAUUCCAGCUCCAAUAGCGUAUACUAAAUUUGUUGCAGUUAAAAAGCUCGUAGUUGAAGUUCGGGUCUGGCUUUCUGGUCCGCUUUUUUGCGAGUACUGGGUUUGAGCCGGAUCUUUCUGUGUGGGUUGCUCCUUGUGGGCUGUUCACACGUUUUACCUUGAAUAAAUUAGAGUGUUCAAAGCAGGCCUUUGCUCGUAUAGUUCAGCAUGGAAUAAUGGAAUAGGACGUUUUGUUUCUAUUUUGUUGGUUUCUAGAAACAUCGUAAUGAUUAAUAGGGACGGUCGGGGGCAUCAGUAUUCAAUUGUCAGAGGUGAAAUUCUUGGAUUUAUUGAAGACUAACUACUGCGAAAGCAUUUGCCAAGGACGUUUUCAUUAAUCAAGAACGAAAGUUAGGGGAUCGAAGAUGAUCAGAUACCGUCGUAGUCUUAACCAUAAACGAUGUCGAUUAGGAAUCGGGUGGAGUCGUUUUAUUGACGCACUCGGCGCCUUGUGCGAAAGCAAAAUAAGACUCUGG